rnacentral:rRNA from 1 species
UUGAACGCUGGCGGCAGGCCUAACACAUGCAAGUCGAGCGGUAACACAGAGAGCUUGCUCUCGGGUGACGAGCGGCGGACGGGUGAGUAAUGUCUGGGAAACUGCCUGAUGGAGGGGGAUAACUACUGGAAACGGUAGCUAAUACCGCAUAACGUCGCAAGACCAAAGUGGGGGACCUUCGGGCCUCAUGCCAUCAGAUGUGCCCAGAUGGGAUUAGCUAGUAGGUGGGGUAACGGCUCACCUAGGCGACGAUCCCUAGCUGGUCUGAGAGGAUGACCAGCCACACUGGAACUGAGACACGGUCCAGACUCCUACGGGAGGCAGCAGUGGGGAAUAUUGCACAAUGGGCGCAAGCCUGAUGCAGCCAUGCCGCGUGUGUGAAGAAGGCCUUCGGGUUGUAAAGCACUUUCAGCGGGGAGGAAGGCGGUGAGGUUAAUAACCUCAUCGAUUGACGUUACCCGCAGAAGAAGCACCGGCUAACUCCGUGCCAGCAGCCGCGGUAAUACGGAGGGUGCAAGCGUUAAUCGGAAUUACUGGGCGUAAAGCGCACGCAGGCGGUCUGUCAAGUCGGAUGUGAAAUCCCCGGGCUCAACCUGGGAACUGCAUUCGAAACUGGCAGGCUAGAGUCUUGUAGAGGGGGGUAGAAUUCCAGGUGUAGCGGUGAAAUGCGUAGAGAUCUGGAGGAAUACCGGUGGCGAAGGCGGCCCCCUGGACAAAGACUGACGCUCAGGUGCGAAAGCGUGGGGAGCAAACAGGAUUAGAUACCCUGGUAGUCCACGCCGUAAACGAUGUCGAUUUGGAGGUUGUGCCCUUGAGGCGUGGCUUCCGGAGCUAACGCGUUAAAUCGACCGCCUGGGGAGUACGGCCGCAAGGUUAAAACUCAAAUGAAUUGACGGGGGCCCGCACAAGCGGUGGAGCAUGUGGUUUAAUUCGAUGCAACGCGAAGAACCUUACCUGGUCUUGACAUCCACGGAAGUUUUCAGAGAUGAGAAUGUGCCUUCGGGAACCGUGAGACAGGUGCUGCAUGGCUGUCGUCAGCUCGUGUUGUGAAAUGUUGGGUUAAGUCCCGCAACGAGCGCAACCCUUAUCCUUUGUUGCCAGCGGUUAGGCCGGGAACUCAAAGGAGACUGCCAGUGAUAAACUGGAGGAAGGUGGGGAUGACGUCAAGUCAUCAUGGCCCUUACGACCAGGGCUACACACGUGCUACAAUGGCAUAUACAAAGAGAAGCGACCUCGCGAGAGCAAGCGGACCUCAUAAAGUAUGUCGUAGUCCGGAUUGGAGUCUGCAACUCGACUCCAUGAAGUCGGAAUCGCUAGUAAUCGUAGAUCAGAAUGCUACGGUGAAUACGUUCCCGGGCCUUGUACACACCGCCCGUCACACCAUGGGAGUGGGUUGCAAAAGAAGUAGGUAGCUUAACCUUCGGGAGGGCGCUUACCACUUUGUGAUUCAUGACUGGGGUG